CGAACUACAGCGUACCCAGAGCUGCGAACCUGGACACGGCCCGGCCCGUCUCCAGAGAAGGCCUUUGAAGUGAAACGAAUCGCUGCCGCGCCUCGGAAAGCCAGGUUCUGUCUCUAGCUUCUGUGGACUCUACUUCUCCAGCAAAUGACCUUUGAGG